rnacentral:rRNA from 1 species
AUACGUAGGGGGCGAGCGUUGUCCGGAAUGAUUGGGCGUAAAGGGCGCGUAGGCGGCCCGGUAAGUCUGGAGUGAAAGUCCUGUUUUUAAGAUGGGAAUUGCUUUGGAUACUGUCGGGCUUGAGUGCAGGAGAGGUAAGUGGAAUUCCCAGUGUAGCGGUGAAAUGCGUAGAGAUUGGGAGGAACACUAGUGGCGUAGGCGACUUACUGCACUGUAACUGACGCUGAAGCGCGAAAUUGUAUGGUGCAAACAGGAUUUGAUGCCCUGGUAGUCCACACUGUACACGGUGAAUGCUAGGUGUAGGUGGUAUCGACCCCUCUUGUGCCGCAGUCAACACAAUAAGUAUUCCGCCUUGGGAGUUCGGCCGUAAGGUUGAUACUCACAUGAAUUAACGUGG